UACGUAGGGGGCGAGCGUUGUCCGGAAUCAUUGGGCGUAAAGAGCUCGUAGGCGGUUCAGUAAGUCAGGUGUGAAAGCUCCGAGCUCAACUCGGAGAGGCCACCUGAUACUGCUGUGACUAGAAUCCAGUAGGGGAGUGUGGAACUCCUGGUGUAGAGGUGAAAUGCGCAGAUAUCAGGAAGAACACCAGCGGCGAAGGCGGCACUCUGGGCUGGAAUUGACGCUGAGGAGCGAAAGUGUGGGUAGCAAACAGG
rnacentral:rRNA from 1 species